rnacentral:ncRNA from 2 species
ACAAUCGGGACUGAUCCCGUUCAUAUAGAUAGAAGCGUGGGCCGGCAGAGGGAAGUCGGGUGAGAAUCCCGCGCAGUCCCGCUGCCGUAAGAGAAGAGCCGCCGGACAAUGGCCACUGGGUGCGCCCGGGAAGGCGUCCGGAGGCGGAGAGGCUCAAGCCGGAAAACCUGGCCGGUCCCCAAUUCACCA